rnacentral:rRNA from 1 species
GGGUAGGUGGGCCCUGCUGCUCCUCACCUUCUGGAAUGCAAAGGCUUCCGUCUUUGUCUGAACCGACUUUUACUUUGAAGAAAUUAGAGUGUUUAAAGCAGGCUUGCCCUUGAAUACAUUAGCAUGGAAUAAUAGAAUAGGACUUUGGUCUUAUUUUGUUGGUUUGAAGACCAAAGUAAUGAUUAAUAGGGACAGUUGGGGGCAUUAUUAUUCAGUAGUCACAGGUGAAAUUCUUGGAUUUACUGAACACUAACUAGUGCUAAAGCAUUUGCCAAGGAUGUUUUCAUUAAUCAAGAACGAAAGUUAGGGGAUCGAAGACGAUUAGAUACCGUCGUAAUCUUAACCAUAAACUAUGCCGACCAGGGAUUGGGAGACUUUACAUGGAUGACUCCCCCAGCACCUUGCGAGAAAUCACGAGUCUUUGGGUUCCGGGGGGAGUAUGGUCGCAAGGCUGAAACUUAAAGGAAUUGACGGAAGGGCACCACCAGGAGUGGAGCCUGGGGCUUAAUUUGACUCAACACGGAGCAACUUACCAGGUCCAGACAUAGUAAGGAUAGACAGACAGAGACCUCUUUCUUGAUUAUAUGGGGGGUGGUACAUGUCUGUUGUUAGUUGGGGGAGUGAUUCAUGUGGUUAAUUCGGUUAAGGAACGAGACCUCAGCCAAUUAAAUAGUUACGUGAAUCGUCUGCAUAUGGGGAGAAGGGGGUGUUCAAUGGACGG